rfam:Candidatus Nomurabacteria bacterium CG1_02_47_685 cg1_0.2_scaffold_8766_c, whole genome shotgun sequence.
CCCGACGGGAAAUUUAAGGGCGUAUGGUGGAUGCCUUGACUCUAAGAGGCGAUGAAGGACGUGGCAUGUCUGCGAUAAACUUCGGGGAGGUGACGAGCAACCUUUGAUCCGGAGGUGUCCGAAUGGGGAAACCCGGUCGAGUAAAACUCGACCAUCCCGCUUUAUUGCGGGAAGCAUACCCGGGGAAGUGAAACAUCUCAGUACCCGGAGGAAAAGAAACCAAUCAGUAUUCCCUGAGUAGCGGCGAGCGAAACGGGAGAAGCCCAAACCCGCGAGCAUCUUGUUUUGCAAGAUGUCGCACUAUUUCAUUAUUUUAAUAUUGAAAUCGCAUCUCGCUUUGCAAGAUGCUCGCGGGUGUUGUAGGGUAGCAAUGUCGGCUUUGGUCGAGAGAAGUCAAAAAUUGUUUUUGUUAGCUGAAGACGCUGGAAAGCGUUGCCCCAGACGGUGAUAGCCCCGUAAGCGAAAACGAAAACAUCUUCUUUGUUGUUAUUCCUGAGUACUUCAGGACACGAAUAGCUUGAAGGAAUCCGCCGGAACUAACCGGCAAGGCUAAAUACUCUUAGAGAUCGAUAGUGAACUAGUACCGUGAGGGAAAGGUGAAAAGAACCCCGGAGAGGGGAGUGAAAUAGACCUGAAACCAUAUGCCUACAAGGAGUCAGCGGCGUGCGUAGCACGCGGUGUUUAAAUAUUCAAUGUUUAAAUCUCGCGUGCUGCGCGCGCUCAUGGCGUGCCUAUUGAAGAAUGAGCCAACGAGUCUGUAUAUACAGCUUGUCUAAGUCCGCCAAGGACGGAGGCGUAGCGAAAGCGAGUGUGAAUAGCGCGUUUUGCUGUAUGUUCAGGACCCGAAGCCAGGUGAGCUUACCAUGAGCAGGGUGAAUGCAGUCGAAAGACUGCAGGAGGCCCGAACCGUUUAGCCGUGCAAUACUAUCGGAUGACUUGUGGUAAGGAGUGAAAAGCUAAUCGAACCUGGUAAUAGCUGGUUCUCUCCGAAAUAGCUUUUGGGUUAGCGUCGAGUGAUCCUUCCGGGGGUAGAGCACUGGAAGAAAUGAAUAGGGGGCAACCUCGUCAUUUCUAUCAAACUCCGAAUACCGGAAAUUAUAGCUCGGCAGUUAGACUGUGGGGGCAAAGCUCCAUUGGUCAAAAGGGAAACAGCCCGGAUCUCCAGUUAAGGUCCCUAAAUCUACACUAAGUGCACUUAAGGAGGUGAAAUUUCUCAGACAAUGAGGAGGUUGGCUUAGAAGCAGCCACCCUUUAAAGAAAGCGUAACAGCUCACUCAUUCAGAGAUCUUGCGCCGCAGAUAAUCGGGGCUAAGUGUGGUACCGAAACUGAGGGCUUUCAAUCUGUUCGCAGAUUGGGAGCGGUAGGAGAGUGUUCCGCUCUGCGUUGAAGGCAAAGGGGUGACCCAUGCUGGAGCGUGCGGAAGCAAGAAUGUUGGCACAAGUAACCACAAUGCGGGUGAAAUCCCCGCACGCCGAAAGACUAAGGUUUCCUUGGCGAUGACAAUCAGCCAAGGGUUAGUCGGGCCUAAGGCGAUGGCGAAAGCCGUAGCUGAUGGACACACGGUUAAUAUUCCGUGACUUCUUUAUGUUGCGAUGGGGCGACGAAGUUUAGUAUGUUGUGCGCAUUAUUGGAUUUGCGUUCGUGCUCUAAGGGCGAUUCUUAGGAAAAUCCGGGAGUCUGUCUUUCAUGACGAGUCCAAGGAGAGCGAAAAUUCCGCGCUUCGGCGCGGGAAAUAGAACAAAGCAAGCUUCCGAGAAAAACCUCUUAGCUUCAAACAUAAAGAAACCGUACCGUAAACCGACACAGGUAGUCAGGUCGAGAAGACCAAGGCGAACGAGUGAGUAUUCCCCAAGGAACUCGGCAAAAAAGCAGCCGUAACUUCGGAAUAAGGCUUCCCCUCACAUGAAUUAGCGUUGUUGGACAAUUGUCCAAUGUGAAAACGGUAUUAUUGGGUCGUUUCGGCGGUCUGAGAUAUUCGUAUACCAUGCAAACGGAGUGUUUGUAGCGCUAAUUCAUGUGAGGGGCGCAGCGAAAGUAUCCCUGGCAACUGUUUAUCUAAAACACAGCUCCCUGCGAACUCGUAAGAGGAUGUAUAGGGGGUGACGCCUGACCAAUGCCAGAAGGUUAAAUAUCGGUGGUGUGCGCAUCACACUGCGUGUGAUGCCGCGGUAUUUAAAUAUUUCAAUAUUUAAAUAUACAUCGCGCAUAGCGUGAUGCGCAUGCUGGCUGAUAUAAGCCCUGGUGAAUGUCGGCCGUAACUAUAACGGUCCUAAGGUAGCGAAAUUCCUUGUCUGGUAAGUUCAGACGUGCACGAAUGGCGCAAUGACUGGGGAACUGUCUCGGGGAACAGCUCGGUGAAAAUACAAUACCGGUGAAGACGCCGGUUACCUGCAGUUAGACGAAAAGACCCCAGGAGCUUUACUGCAACUUGGUAUUGAAUGUGUUUUUUUGUUGCGUAGCAUAGGUGGGAGACUUUGAAGUUUGCCUUUCGGGGUAGAUGGAGUCGUCAGUGAAAUACCACUCUUCAAAGAGGCACAUUCUAACUUGUACGGCAAAAACGUACAGAGACAGUACUUGGUGGGUAGUUUAAGUGGGGCGCUUUCCUCCUAAAAAGUAACGGAGGAGUUUAUUAAGGUUAGCUAGGCGCGAAUGGAAACCGUGCCGGUAGUGUAAUGGCAUAAGCUAGCUUGACUGCAAGGCGUACAUGCCAAGCAGGUGCGAAAGCAGAACAUAGUGAACCGACGGCUCGCUUUAGACGCGGCCGAAGAUUAACGGAUAAAAGCUACCCUGGGGAUAACAGGCUAGUUCCGCCCAAGAGUCCAUAUCGACGGCGGAGUUCGGCACCUCGAUGUCGGCUCAACUUAUCCUGGGGCUGGAGAAGGUCCCAAGGGUUUGGCUGUUCGCCAAUUAAAAAGUUACGCGAGCUGGGUUCAAACCGUUCAGGAAAUAGCACAAUGCUGUUUUUUGAACCGUUUGAACCCGCUCAUAAACGACACAAUCGGGUCUUUUUGUCUAUGAAAAAUGAUAGAGUCCGAAUGCACACUGUUGCGUUUGGCAAGGAACCAAUCACAUCACGGCGCGCGCGCGAGCAAUUACGCGCGAAGAGCUGACUCAUAUCGGAGAAAUCCUUUCGUAAAAGAUAAGGACAACCCCGAGGGAAGUCGUCCCGCUUUUUGUUUCAAAUGGCUGGAUUGACCCCGUAGAGACUACACGUCGGCAUCCGCAGAGAAAGCGGAGAAGGUAUAGUCCAAUGCACUUGGCGACAAGUGAUAUCAUGCGUGAGACAGGUUGGUCUCCUAUCUACUGCAGGCGUUGAAAUUUGAGAAGAUCUGCUCCUAGUACGAGAGGACCGGAGUGGACUGACCUCUGGUGUAUCGGCUGUCGCGCCAGCGGCAUUGCCGAGUAGCUAAGUCGGGAAUGGAUAACCUCUGAAAGCAUCUAAGAGGGAAACCAACUUCAAGAUGAGAUUUCGUUUGAGAUUCCUAGGAGAUGACUAGGUUGAUAGGCUCUAGAUGUAAGCGCAGUAAUGCGUUCAGUCGAGGAGUACUAAUUCAUCAAUUCCUGUCGGGAA